GACGAACGCUGGCGGCGUGCUUAACACAUGCAAGUCGAACGGAAAGGCCCUGCUUUUGUGGGGCGCUCGAGUGGCGAGCGGGUGAGUAAAACGUGAGUAAACUGCCCUUGACUUUGGGAUAAAUUCAGGAAACUGCGGAUAAUACCGGAUAGGAGCUCCUGCUGCAUGGUGGGGGAUGGAAAGAUUCGGCGGUUGGGGAUGGACUCGCGGCUUAUCAGCUUGUUGGUGGGGUAGGGGCUUACAAAGGCUUUGACGGGUAGCCGGCCUGAGAGGGUGACCGGCCACAUUGGUACUGAGAUACGGCCCAGACGCCUACGGUAGGCAGCAGUCGGGAAUAUUGCACAAUGGGCGGAAGCCUGAUGCAGCAACGCCGCGUGCGUGAUGACGUCCUUCGGGUUGUAAACCGCUUUCGCCUGUGACGAAGCGUGAGUGACGGUAAUGGGUAAAGAAGCACCGGCUAACUACGUG
rnacentral:rRNA from 1 species